rnacentral:rRNA from 1 species
GACGAACGCUGGCGGCGUGCUUAACACAUGCAAGUCGAACGGAAAGGCCCUGCUUUUGCGGGGUGCUCGAGUGGCGAACGGGUGAGUAGCACGUGAGUAACCUGCCCUUGACUUUGGGAUAACUUCAGGAAACUGGGGCUAAUACCGGAUAGGAGCUCCUGCUGCAUGGUGGGGGUUGGAAAGUUUCGGCGGUUGGGGAUGGACUCGCGGCUUAUCAGCUUGUUGGUGGGGUAGUGGCUUACCAAGGCUUUGACGGGUAGCCGGCCUGAGAGGGUGACCGGCCACAUUGGGACUGAGAUACGGCCCAGACUCCUACGGGAGGCAGCAGUGGGGAAUAUUGCACAAUGGGCGGAAGCCUGAUGCAGCAACGCCGCGUGCGGGAUGACGGCCUUCGGGUGGUAAACCGCUUUCGCCUGUGACGAAGCGUGAGUGACGGUAAUGGGUAAAGAAGCACCGGCUAACUACGU